rnacentral:lncRNA from 1 species
UUAUUUUUAUCUCAAAGGUCGGGUUUUGACCAAAAAAUUGAGCUCUUCUUCUAAGUUUGGUGGGAAAAAGAAGGUGAACAAGAAUAAAACUUUAAUUCAUAUUGUGAUUCAAAUUUCUUCAUUCGUACUGGUAGUAAAUUUGCCUUUUAUUUCACUUUGCUUUGUAAUUUAUACAUACAUUAUACGGAAACAAAGUGCAUGUUGUUACUGAAUCUAGGGUUUCAAUCCGGAACACUGAAUUUGUGAAUUCUAAAUUUCUAAUUGAGUUUUGACUGUUGGUAGUACCUUUUUUUUGUGCUUGAAUUCUUUAAGAUCCAAUUUUUUUUUUGUAUUUCAAAUUCUAGUAGUUUUUGACUUUGCUUCUUCUGAACAUCUUUCUAGCUUCAGGGUUCCAAUUGCAUUGUUUAUCGUCAUAAUUUUUUUGUUACUUUACAAUUACGGGCGUUACUUCAGUUAUGUUGUGAUGAAAAAAAGCGCUUAUUUGAAUCUAUUUGAUUUUUGUGAUAUAUUAUAUGAAUCUCUAGCAUUUACCCUGUUCUUUAAGUCUAAAUUAACUAUGUGUGAAAUUGUAACUGAAUUGAUUAGUUGAUGCAGGAGGGACCCAUAUUUCAUGUUUAGAGGAAAAACUCCAAUUUUUUCAUCUUGAGUUGUGGGAGCAAAAACAGAGCUAGUUGUUUAAAGGAGGGGUAUGAAUGUUGAUGAUGAUUUUGGUUAUUGGAUUUUGGUUAUAAUUUUUAAGUACAAAAACAAGGAAGAUUUGUGAUAGUUCUUAUUUGUAGAUGGGACUGUAAAGUGGAUUUCUAGUCUGUAAGGAUUUCUAUUCAUUGUGAUAAGUCAAAUGUGUGAUUUAAUGAUGAUUUGAAGACUGGGUGUUAUCUUAAACCAUUUCAAUGGAUGUGAUACUACUUUAAAC